rnacentral:rRNA from 1 species
CGCCUCCUGAUCAACCAUAGGAGGUCAAGCCUGCCCAGUGACAUUGUUCAACGGCCGCGGUAUCCUAACCGUGCGAAGGUAGCGUAAUCACUUGUUCUUUAAAUGAGGACUAGUAUGAAUGGCCCCACGAAGGCUAUACUGUCUCCUUUAUUCAAUCAGUAAAACUAAUCUCCCCGUGAAGAAGCGGGGAUUCACCUAUAAGACGAGAAGACCCUAUGGAGCUUCAGAUAUUCUAGACAUUUGAACUUUAUAUUACACCUUUCGAGUAUUUUUUAAACACAUCAUUUUGUCCUAAAUCUUGGGUUGGGGUGACCACGGAGAAAAAAAUAACCUCCACGUAGAAAGAAGUUUUUCUUCUAAGCAAAAAGCCACAUCUUUAUGCAUCAACAUAUUGACCUGAAUUGACCCAAUUAUUUGAUCAACGAACCAAGUUACCCUAGGGAUAACAGCGCAAUCCACUUUAAGAGCUCAUAUCGACAAGUGGGCUUACGACCUCGAUGUUGGAUCAGGGUGUCCUAGUGGUGCAGCAGCUACUAACGGUUCGUUUGUUCAACGAUUAAAACCCUA